UUACGGCCAUAUCGCGUUGAAACACUGGCACUCACCGGAUCACAGAAGUUAAGCAACGUCGAGUACCUUGUCAGUACCUAGAUGGGUGACCGCUCGGAAUGCCAGGUGUUGUAAU